rnacentral:rRNA from 1 species
UACAGAGGGGGCAAGCGUUGUUCGGAAUUACUGGGCGUAAAGUGCGCGUAGGCGGCCUGUUAAGUCGAACGUGAAAUCCCCGGGCUCAACCCGGGAACUGCGUCCGAUACUGGCAGGCUUGAAUCCGGGAGAGGGAUGCGGAAUUCCAGGUGUAGCGGUGAAAUGCGUAGAUAUCUGGAGGAACACCGGUGGCGAAGGCGGCAUCCUGGACCGGCAUUGACGCUGAGGCGCGAAAGCCAGGGGAGCAAACGGG